GCGGCACGAGCAGCGCGACAGGCAGAGGCGGAGGAUCUGGAGAAGGUGGACAUCGAGCACGUGGAGAAGGUGCUGCCCCAGCUGCUUUUAGAUUUCUAGAGACGUGGUGAAGCAGACGUGUCAGCCGCUGGCAGAAGAUCCCGGCCUGAUGCUCAGUCCAGCUCUAGGAAGAACAGUAUCACCUCUUUCCUCUGCCCUAUUGCUUCUGCUUCCCAGCUCCUGUACCAAGGCUCUGGUGGCAGAUGCUGUUUUUCAACAGAGGCCUCCACUCACUGACUUUGGUGGGCCGUAACUGGUUUCCCUCUCGCUGCCUUCCUUCUCUAACGGUGUGCCUAUCAGCAUGGUAAAGCUGCUGUUGCUUUCUCAGCUAAUGUGAGAAACAGGUGCUGCUCCGCACGAUGAGAGGCAUGGAAAGACUUAAUGGCUGGAAAUGUCAUCCAAACAUCAGGCUCUCCUCAUCUCAGCGGGCGGCAGUGGCAGAAACUUCAGGUCCAGCUCCAAGCCUGGCUAAUGAAUAGGUUGUUAGCAGGAGCUCCGUUACAGGCUCUUGCCAAAAGCAGGUAUCUGAUCUUUAUUUUAUAAAUAAACAGAGUCUGUCCUUCACUA